rnacentral:rRNA from 1 species
GAUGAACGCUGGCGGCGUGCCUAAUACAUGCAAGUCGAGCGAACAGACGAGGAGCUUGCUCCUCUGACGUUAGCGGCGGACGGGUGAGUAACACGUGGAUAACCUACCUAUAAGACUGGGAUAACUUCGGGAAACCGGAGCUAAUACCGGAUAAUAUAUUGAACCGCAUGGUUCAAUAGUGAAAGACGGUUUUGCUGUCACUUAUAGAUGGAUCCGCGCCGCAUUAGCUAGUUGGUAAGGUAACGGCUUAUCAAGGCAACGAUGCGUAGCCGACCUGAGAGGGUGAUCGGCCACACUGGAACUGGGACACGGUCCAGACUCCUACGGGAGGCAGCAGUAGGGAAUCUUCCGCAAUGGGCGAAAGCCUGACGGAGCAACGCCGCGUGAGUGAUGAAGGUCUUCGGAUCGUAAAACUCUGUUAUUAGGGAAGAACAAAUGUGUAAGUAACUAUGCACGUCUUGACGGUACCUAAUCAGAAAGCCACGGCUAACUACGUG